rnacentral:rRNA from 1 species
AGUGGGUGUAAUGUACCUACUAGCCGACGACGGAUACGGGUUGUGGGAGCAAGAGCCCGGAGAUGGAUUCUGAGACAUGAAUCCAGGCCCUACGGGGCGCAGCAGGCGCGAAAACUUUACAAUGCGGGAAACCGCGAUAAGGGGACACCGAGUGCCAGCAUCUUAUGUUGGCUGUCCGCAUGUAUAAAUCACAUGUGUUAGCAAGGGCCGGGCAAGACCGGUGCCAGCCGCCGCGGUAACACCGGCGGCCCGAGUGGUGGCCGCUAUUAUUGGGUCUAAAGGGUCCGUAGCCGGUUUGGUCAGUCUUCCGGGAAAUCUGACGGCUUAACCGUUAGGCUUUCGGGGGAUACUACCAGGCUUGGGACCGGGAGAGGUAAGAGGUACUACGGGGGUAGGAGUGAAAUCUUGUAAUCCUCGUGGGACCACCAGUGGCGAAGGCGUCUUACCAGAACGGGUCCGACGGUGAGGGACGAAGGCUGGGGGCACGAACCGGAUUAGAU